rnacentral:rRNA from 1 species
AGGGCAGCCACCCAGUGAUGGGGAGCGAAUCUCGAAAGCCUAUCNCUUUAGUCGGAUUGGAGGCUGAAACUCGCCUCCAUGAAGUUGGAUUCGCUAGUAAUCGCGCAUCAGCCAUGGCGCGGUGAAUACGUUCCCGGGCCUUGUACACACCGCCCGUCAAGCCAUGGGAGUUGGGGGUGCCUGAAGUUCGUGACCGAAAGGAGCGACCUAGGGCAAAACCGAUGACUGGGGCUAAGUCGUAACAAGGUAUC